CUUCAAAAAAACGAAAGUUGCUACCAUUUUCAAACAAUCAUCGUUCAGAAGUUAAGCAGCCUAUCAAUAGAGAAAUUGUGAGUCAUGUAGGGUUGGAUAGCCUGCCGAAACAAAAAAGGAAGACAAAAGCAUAUAUUCAUCGCGAUCGUGAAGCUAAUCUUGGCGAUAUUUUCGUAUGCGCCGAUCCUUGUUCUUGCGCAUUGUCAAUGAGGUGGAAUCUGAUCCUUACUUCCAACAACGCGAAAACGCUAUUGGGAGAGCCGAAUUCCUACCAUACAUAAAUGAAGGACUCCACUGGUGCAAUUCGAAGCCAACAACUCUUACUACACGAUGGACUACUACUUAACUGACGACAUCUAUUCAAAUCGGCCCAUGUUCGUGAAGAGUCUGAUAUUUCCUUCGAACAAGAAGAAUAAGGGGAAUUGAUGCAAGAAACGGCUCGGAAGAACGUAGAACAAGCUUUUGGUGUCUUUCAAGUUCUAUGGCCUAUUAUCAAAGGACCUACUUGUUUAUGGAAGAAGAAGCAUCUGAGCGAUAUCAUGUUUGCGCGUAUUAUACACAUAACAUGGUAAUCAAAGAUGAAGGAGAAUAUGCGACGGAGUUGGAAGACGAGGAAAACAACGAGGCGUCGAGUAGCACUGCUUCAUCUUGUACUCGCACCGGAGCUCCGUCGAAAUUCCGAGCUUAUUUGACUCGACAGUCCUCCCUUCGCGAGUGCCAAAUGCACAACCGCCUCAACUCAAAUUUAAUCGAGCACAUUUGAGCUCAAUUUGGUCUGA